rnacentral:rRNA from 1 species
AGAGUUUGAUCCUGGCUCAGAACGAAUGCUGGCGGCAUGCUUAACACAUGCAAGUCGAACGCAAGGCUUCGGCCUUGAGUGGCGCACGGGUGAGUAGCGCGUGGGAACCUGCCCUGUCGUGGGGGAUAACCGAGGGAAACUUCGGCUAAUACCGCAUAAGCCGGGAGACCGGGAAGAUUUAUCGCGAUAGGAGGGGCCCGCGUCGGAUUAGCUUGUUGGUGGGGUAACGGCCUACCAAGGCUUUGAUCCGUAGCUGGUCUGAGAGGAUGAUCAGCCACACUGGGACUGAGACACGGCCCAGACUCCUACGGGAGGCAGCAGUGGGGAAUAUUGGACAAUGGGCGCAAGCCUGAUCCAGCAAUGCCGCGUGAGUGAGGAAGGCCUUCGGGUUGUAAAGCUCUUUCGCACGCGACGAUGAUGACGGUAGCGUGAGAAGAAGCCCCGGCUAACUUCGUGCCAGCAGCCGCGGUAAUACGAAGGGGGCGAGCGUUGUUCGGAUUUACUGGGCGUAAAGGGCGCGCAGGCGGCGAGUUUUGUCAGGCGUGAAAGCCCCGGGCUCAACCUGGGAACUGCGCUUGAAACGGGCUUGCUGGAGACCGGGAGAGGAGAGUGGAAUUCCCAGUGUAGAGGUGAAAUUCGUAGAUAUUGGGAAGAACACCGGUGGCGAAGGCGGCUCUCUGGACCGGAUCUGACGCUGAGGCGCGAAAGCGUGGGGAGCAAACAGGAUUAGAUACCCUAGUAGUCC